UUCUCUCUCACACACUCUUUCCAUCUCUUUCUUUCUCUCUCUCUCUGAAAUUCCAGCUUGUUUACUCAGCUCGGGGUCCUGAUACUGCGAUCCCCUCCACUCCUGCACAUCUUCCUCCAGAUUCCUCAAAACAGAAGAUUGACAGAGUGCCAUUCCACCACCGACUUCACUUCCGUUACCCGCCCUCAUGGACCCGCCCCUUCCUGCCUGGAACCCAUACCACCGGAAGUUCGGCCAUUUUGAAGCAAUUCAAUUCUGAGCUCUCGUCUGAAAAACCAGCCCAAGACCCUGCCACUUAAUGACAUCACCACCAGUCUGGCCCCUAUUGAUGUCAGUUCCUGCACUCUCUAAUACCCAGAAUUCACCUCCCUGCCACAUCAAUUCCUGUUCCGGACUCCCUGACUCCACCUCUUCCUCCAUUCAG